GGUGGCUAAGUGGUUAGAGAAUCCGCACCGUAAGCGAGAGGUCGCAGGUUCGAAACCUGCCUGAGCCA